UACGUAGGGUGCAAGCGUUUGUCCGGAAUUAUUGGGCGUAAAGAGCUCGUAGGCGGCUUGUCACGUCGACUGUGAAAACCCGGGGCUCAACUCCGGGCCUGCAGUCGAUACGGGCUGGCUUGAGUGCGGUAGGGGAGACUGGAAUUCCUGGUGUAGCGGUGAAAUGCGCAGAUAUCAGGAGGAACACCGGUGGCGAAGGCGGGUCUCUGGGCCGAUAUUGACGCUGAGGAGCGAAAGCGUGGGGAGCGAACAGG
rnacentral:rRNA from 1 species